AGUGGGGAAUAUUGGACAAUGGGCGCAAGCCUGAUCCAGCAAUGCCGCGUGAGUGAUGAAGGCCUUAGGGUUGUAAAGCUCUUUUACCCGGGAAGAUAAUGACUGUACCGGGAGAAUAAGCCCCGGCUAACUCCGUGCCAGCAGCCGCGGUAAUACGGAGGGGGCUAGCGUUGUUCGGAAUUACUGGGCGUAAAGCGCACGUAGGCGGCUUUGUAAGUUAGAGGUGAAAGCCCGGAGCUCAACUCCGGAAUUGCCUUUAAGACUGCAUCGCUAGAAUUGUGGAGAGGUGAGUGGAAUUCCGAGUGUAGAGGUGAAAUUCGUAGAUAUUCGGAAGAACACCAGUGGCGAAGGCGACUCACUGGACACAUAUUGACGCUGAGGUGCGAAAGCGUGGGGAGCAAA
rnacentral:rRNA from 1 species